AUUGAACGCUGGCGGCAGGCUUAACACAUGCAAGUCGAGCGGAGAUGAGGUGCUUGCACCUUAUCUUAGCGGCGGACGGGUGAGUAAUGCUUAGGAAUCUGCCUAUUAGUGGGGGACAACAUUCCGAAAGGAAUGCUAAUACCGCAUACGUCCUACGGGAGAAAGCAGGGGAUCUUCGGACCUUGCGCUAAUAGAUGAGCCUAAGUCGGAUUAGCUAGUUGGUGGGGUAAAGGCCUACCAAGGCGACGAUCUGUAGCGGGUCUGAGAGGAUGAUCCGCCACACUGGGACUGAGAAACGGCCCAGACGCCUACGGGGGGCAGCAGUGGGUAAAAUUUGACAAUGGUGGGAACCCUGAUCCAGCCAUGCCGCGUGUGUGAAGAAGUCCUUAUGGUUGUAAAGCACUUUAAGCGAGGAGGAGGCUACUGAGACUAAUACUCUUGGUUAGUGGACGUUACUCGCAGAAUAAGCACCGGCUAACGCUGUGCCAGCCGCCGCCGUAACAC
rnacentral:rRNA from 1 species